rnacentral:rRNA from 1 species
CGAACGCUGGCGGCGUGCUUAACACAUGCAAGUCGAACGGAAAGGCCCUGCUUUUGUGGGGUGCUCGAGUGGCGAACGGGUGAGUAACACGUGAGUAACCUGCCCUUGACUUUGGGAUAACUUCAGGAAACUGGGGCUAAUACCGGAUAGGAGCUCCUGCUGCAUGGUGGGGGUUGGAAAGUUUCGGCGGUUGGGGAUGGACUCGCGGCUUAUCAGCUUGUUGGUGGGGUAGUGGCUUACCAAGGCUUUGACGGGUAGCCGGCCUGAGAGGGUGACCGGCCACAUUGGGACUGAGAUACGGCCCAGACUCCUACGGGAGGCAGCAGUGGGGAAUAUUGCACAAUGGGCGGAAGCCUGAUGCAGCAGCGCCGCGUGCGGGAUGACGGCCUUCGGGUUGUAAACCGCUUUCGCCUGUGACGAAGCGUGAGUGACGGUAAUGGGUAAAGAAGCACCGGCUAACUACGUG